GCGUACCAAUGGCACAAUUCUUUGUUCUUUGGAAAUACCAUGACAAGGCAGGAAAAGCUCUGAAGUCAGAAUGUCUCCUCGCUGGGAACUGUGCUUUCCUUUGCUUCGCUGUUUAGAAGAAAGAUAUGUAGUUCAGUCUCUCAAACUUUCCCAGUUUGCUAGAAAUUCAUUUAGACUUAUUCCUCUUUCUCAUUUAACUCAAGUGAUCAAGAUUCUGGAUUUCUGAAUAGUAGAUCUAAAUUCUGUCCCCACUGAGAUUUAUAUUGUCUCAUCAUUGAUUAUGAACCUCUUUUUCUGUUCUAGCCGAACAAGAGACUCAGGCCAUGUCUAGACUACAAACUUUUGUUCGUAUUCCUGUGUUGGUCAGAGAUGCUCCAGUGGUUGGCAGCCUUACCAGACAUCUAUAUUUGGAAAUAAUCCAUGGCUCAAAGAUCCCCACAUAACAUUUAGCCAGUUUUUGGCUAAGCUCCAUGCUUGUAUGAAGAGAUGCAGCAGUAGCAUGAAAUAUACUGCUAUGAACAGAGAACGAAACAUUCAGUUCUUGUAUUCCUGAAAGCCAUGUUGACAGAAGUCUCUUGCUCAUGCAUGCAAAGCGGAAGAAGAGGGGAUAAGAGCCAUGUCUUAUCACCUAAAACUACCCAGACACUGGAAACUUCCCAUGACAAGUCAUUGCUUAUAAUGACAGAGGAAAUAUUUUAAUGUUAAUAGCAUCGUGAUAUGGUGAUUAUUCUGUUUUUUGUUGUUUUCUUCCCCAAAAUGAUUCUGAAGUGUUUCAGUAGGGAUUAUAAAGUAUAUGGAAAACAACUUUUUGAGACUAUUCUGCCAUCAUCUCUUUUCAGGAUUUUAUCCUCUUUUUAUUAUAUUGAGGUGUUUCCUAAGGGCUGGUCUACACACAGACUUUCACAGAAAUAUCUAAUUCAGUUGUAACUGAGACCUCUUGUUAUUACGGUGCCACCCUAUGCGUGGACAUUCUUAUUUUGGUAUGAGGAAUACCUACACUGAUUUUGUGUACAUUGGUGUUUUACUGACUUCAGUUGAAUUAAAGUAGGUCAUUUUAAUUCUGAAAUACAUAGACUGCAACCAAAGCAACAAAUUUUGUCAAAUACAACUUAUUGAGGCUAUUCCCAUGCUACCAUUUAUUUUGGUAUAACUUCUAUGGGGGGUGGAGGAACAUGGAGUAGUCAAGCUAAUGGGCAAGCUCUCUCCCAUCACGUUAGAGAGACUGCACUAGAGACCUUACACCCAGCACAAAUGUUUGGGUGCAGCUGCAUCACUAUAAGUUCUCUAAUGUAGCCAUAUCCUGAGGCCAUGUCUACACACAGUGCUGCAGUGGAGCAGCUGCACCAGUACAGUUGCACAACUGCAGCAUGUCUGGAGAAGACAUUUUAUGCUGACGAGUGAGAGCUCUCCCAUUUGCAUUUAAAAAAAUAAACCUUUGCAAGAGGUAUGUCGAGAGGAGAAGCCCUCCCACUUACUUAGUCUGUCCACACUGGCUCUUAUAUCAAUGUAACUGAUAUCACUCAGUGGGUUGGGGUGUGGGGCAAGAAGGGAUUUUCCCACUCCUGAGAGACGAACUUAUGUCAACCUAGCCUGAGUUAUUUUGGUGUGAAUUUAUAUGAGAACAAGGCUUACAUUUUCUCCAGCUGUAUUAGAAUAUUUGGCCUAACUGCACUAUAAAAUAACUUCUAGAUAA